CUGAUAAUGAAGAGAAGAAACAGAUUAUUACUGAAGACUAUGAAGAACUUAAACUCAAAGUUGCCAAACAAUUGGAGGAGAAGGAGGAACAAUACCUCAAGGAGAAACAGAUCAUUAUUGACGACAAUCAAAAUCUCAUUUCCGACAAAGACAAAGUCAUAGCCAAACUGACAUCACAAGUAGAGGAACAAUCACAGAAUGAGAAACAGAUCAUUACUGACCUUAAAGAAAAGGAGUUGUACAU